UACGUAGGGGGCAAGCGUUGUUCGGAAUUACUGGGCGUAAAGGGCGCGUAGGCGGCACGACAAGUCGGGAGUGAAAGCCCGGGGCUCAACCCCGGAGGGUCUCUCGAAACUGUCGAGCUAGAGUGCGGAAGAGGCAAUCGGAAUUCCCAGUGUAGCGGUGAAAUGCGUAGAUAUUGGGAAGAACACCGGAGGCGAAGGCGGGUUGCUGGGCCGACACUGACGCUGAGGCGCGAAAGCCAGGGGAGCAAACGGG
rnacentral:rRNA from 2 species